rnacentral:lncRNA from 1 species
UAUUCCACAUGGGCACAGGUUCUAAAGCCCCACUGAAGCCAGGUAAUGUCAUUUGCAUAGUUAUGUUUGCACAGCCAAAAGCAUCUCUGGAUUCAAGAAGUAAAAGGAAGAAUUGUAAGUGACUCCAACUAUUAAAAUGCACACUGCUAUUUUUGUUCUCAUGAAGUAUGCCACCAUGUUAAGCAUAUAAUUCCUUGUUGCCAUCAAAUGGACAUUUUUGUAAAAGUUAAAAGAAUUACCAGCUUAAAGAAAGUUGCCUGUUGGAAUUGUCUUAUAUGGUGAAAUUAUGCUCAGACUUCUCAAGUAUUGGGAAUUCCUGGUGGCUCAGCACGUUAAGGAUCCAGCAUUAUUAUUGCUGUGGUUGGGUUCAGUCCCUUGCCUGGAAACUUCUACAUGCUCUGGGUGUGGCCAGAAAAAUUAAAAAAAAAAAAAAAAAAGUUGUCAGAUUUUUGAGGAUAGCACUUCUUGCAGCUAGAGUAUAAUUUCAUUUAGUAUGGAAUUUUUUCUUGUGUAAUAUUUACAAAAGACAGGUUUGCUAACAAUCUGUAGACUUACUGGAAGGCUUUAGAAAAAAAAAAGUCCAUUUGCUGGGGGAAAAAUCUGUUAGUACUGUCUGCCAGCGAGAGACUAAUUUUGCUGCUAAUGUAAAUAACUUUAAUAUCACAACUAAACAGACAGGUGCCCUUAGCAUCACAAUACACUAUAUUUCAUUUUAUACUAUUCUUGUUAUUGACUGAAAUAAGUCUCCCCCACAAUAAAGCUCUAACCCCCAAUAAGAAUAUACUUGAAGGUAAGGCCUAUAAGGAGGCAGUUAAAUUUACAUGAGGUCAGAAGGGGCAAAGCCCUGAUGCAGUAGGCCUGGUGGUUUUAUAAGAAAUACUGAGUGCAUGUCCAUGGAGCCAAGGCCCUGUGAAGAUACAACAAGAAGGCAGCCUUCUGCAAGCCAGGAAGAGAGGUCUCAUCAGAAACUAACCUUUGUGGCAGCUUGAUCUUUGGACACUUAGUCUCAGGAAUUGUGAAAAAAGAAAUUUAUAUUGUGUAAGCCACCGGGUCUGUGGUAUUCUGUUAUGACAGCCCACAUGGACUACACUUGCCAAUGCCAGUUUCUUUUAAAUGUGGAAUUCCAGGGAUGGAAAAGAUGGCCUCAACUGAAGCUAUCCUGAAGCUAUCCUUGUGCCUCCCUGUUCUUGAAGUAAUAAAUAUGAUGUUAAAUGUGAGUUAGGGGAGUUUCUCUUGUGGCUCAGUGGAUUAAAAACCUAACUAGUAUCCAUGGGGAUGUGGGUUCGAUCUCAGACCUCACUCAGUGGGUUAAAGGAUUCGGUGUUGCUGUGAGCUGUCAUGUAGGUUGCAGAUGCAGCUCGGAUCUGGAUCUAGCAUUACUGUGGCUGUGGCGUAGGUCAGGUCAGCAGCUGCAGCUCCAAUCUGACCCCUAGCCUGGGAACCUCUAUAUGCCACAGGUGUUGCCCUAAAAAGUUUAAAAAAAAAAAUUGAUUUUGGGAUGUAUCAAAACCAGGCCCUAAUUAUAGGAGCAGACUGGAUUGGGCUGAGUAAGUGAUUGAAUAUUACUGGAAAGUUUUUCUUGUUUUUGAGCAUAGAGCAUCUGAUUCAGUAAUUGUCAGCUACAAUAAUGGACUGAUUGCAGAUAGGUUAUUUUCAUUUCAGUGUAAAAUUAUGUUUAUGGAUUAAUGUGUCAUUAUGGGCUUUGACUAAAUAAGUCUCUCACAGACAAACGGACUUAAGUUUUUCAUACUCUGAAGUUUCUAGUUGGCCAGUUUUGACAGUGUAGGUCACAGAAAUGGCCAUUUUGAUCAUAAUAAACCUCCUUGGGGCUUGGAGCUCAAAAUACUUUAUGUAGAUUCCAAAGCAAAUAAUGCAGUGACUUGAGUCUUUCCUCAUCUGAUGCUUUCAGCUCACUUAUUUUGUAUUUCUGUCCUGUAAGUUUCCAUUAAUUUCUUAGUGUUUUGUGCCAGCCAGUUCACUUCCCCCAGAUUUAGCAGCUAUCCUGUCCAAUCACCUACCUCUGUACUGAAUUCACUCUUUGACUCUUGUACACGACUCCUUUUUUCCCUGUGGUGGUUUCCUCUCAGUUGGUUCUACUGUUAUAAUCUCAUGUUCCCAAUAUGUCACUUCCCUAAUAGUCUCACUGGAACUCAAACUUCUAUGUAGUUCCUCUUCUAUUAGCUUCUAUUAGUUUCUUCUCUUGAGUUUGUCUUCUUUUGUGUUUAAAUGUAUUGAUUAUAGCAACUUUUCACACUUUUGUACUUUAUUUUCUACCCUCUCUAAUGUAUGUUCCAGUUAUCAAAAAAGCCACGUGUUGUUUUAAGUAGUCUCAAGAAUAUCAUUAGUUUGAAAUUAUAAGCAUUUUUUGGUAAUUGCCAAUUUUGUGAUUAAAAAUGGUUCUGAAGAGUGGCUACCAUUUAUGGUUGAUGUAAGAGUAAAUAUCACAGACGUAGACUCAGACGCCAGUCUGGGGCAAAGGUAGCCCAAACGUAAGGCCUAUAGGACCUCCAGAGGCCCAGGAGGUAGAUCAAGCCAUAGGGAAUUAGACUCAGGUCUGAUGCCUAUUGGGAAUUCCACGGCUUAAUUGUGAACUCACUGUAGAUCAGGAACCCCUUUAUUUCUUCCAGAUCCUUCUGAGGGAGCAUGGCCUUGCCAGCCCUCCAUUUUAAACUUCCUGAAAGCCUCCGGAAACAUGACAGAAUAUUUCUGCUGUCUUAAGUCAUUUAGUUUGUGGUAAUUUGUUGUGACAUCCCUAGACGACUAGAGAUUAAUGGGACAGUUAACAACUAGAUGUUUAUUUAAUCAUAUUAUUCAUAACUUAAACUUCCUCUAAUGCUCAUACUGCUUAUCAGUCAAGGUAUAUGUGGGCUUCUGACUUAUUAUUCAGUAUACCAGAUUAUAAAUGGAGUUAUGCCUUAAAGUCAUAACGUAUUUCAAAAUAAAAGUAAUAAAUGCAGCGUUUACCUUGAGAAAAGUAUCAUGAUUGUUAAUCAUAUUUGAAAACCUUAGUAGUACCUGCUGUUAUGAGUUUCACAUAUCUUGCUCAUCACUUUAGUUUCUUUUUCUCCUUAGAUCUCUCCUCUUCCUCCUUCUUUCUCCUUUUCCUUCUGUCAAUUCCCUCCCAGUUGAUACCUCCACUAUAUUAGUAAGUUAUUGAAAAUUUCUUUAAAGUAAUUGAUAUGUAUUUAAAGUCUCUUUAAUUUAUAAAACUGAAAAAAUAUGAAUUAUAGUUCUGGACCAAGAAAAACUUGAUUUCAGUCAGUUAGUACUUAGAAGUCUAUAUUAUUCUUAAAAAUACAUGUAGUUGUGAGCAAAUUUAUAAGAUGUGCAUAUAGAGUAGAAGAUUUCCAAUCUCCUUGGGGUUUUGAGCAGCCCAUUGGUAAAAAAUAAUUAUAGUUGUUGGAAAUAAAUUCACAUGAUUUACUUAGAAGAUCUUAAUAGCUUUAACUGUGUGUUUGCAUUAACAUUUGAAAAAAAAUUGGUUAUUUCAGUCCACCAGAACAAAUGUCUUAAUCUCUAAGUUACAGACAUAUUCACUGUUUAAAUGAAAGAAAAAUCAUCAAUUAAUUACAUACCAUGCACUUUUUAUUCCUAUGAAAAAUUCAUAGGAUAAAAGCUCCACUGCAAGUAAUUAGAGCACAUUAUGUAUAAUCACUUGCCAAAUUCCAUGUUUUAAAUCAGUCAUUUUUUGUGUUCAUAUGUUUGAAGUAAUUUUAAAAGUAAAUAAUCACAAAGCCCAACAAAUAAGAUAAAAUGGUAAAGCAAAUAUAGCAAAGUAUAUUAAGAAAACAAUCAAAUGGAGCAGAAUCUCUUCUGUCAUCAACCAGGCAUCUUUACACUAGCUGGAGGUAUUGGGAAGACAGCAUUUCAACAACCACAUAAUAGUUGAGGAUCCUAGAAAAUAUUAUAUAUAUUUUUAAAGCAGUCUAUAUUCAUUGCCUUUUAAAAAACAGUGGGAUCUCUUAUUUCACUAGAUAGUUAUUCCUCAUUAAUUGCAUUGCAUUUUGAUUAUCACCUCCCUUUUUUUUCCUUAGAGAAUUUGCAUGAGUUAUUAGAUACAUUUAUUUCUAUAUGCAUUUUUAGAUAUGACUUUGUAGUAUUUCUUUAGAUGUGAAUAAUGCCAAACGGUUAUAGAUUACAAACUGCAGUGUAGUCGGUAUCUGUUUCAUUCCAGUUUACCUGACAUAUUCUAUACAUAGUCAGAAUUCAAUAAACAUUUAUUUUUGACAUGCAUGUAAGUAGAACAUCAAUUACAAGUCAACCAAAGAACACAGACACAUGCUAAAUCACUCUUUGUGAGAAUAAUUACCACUGAGAGUCGGAAUAUGAGCUUUGCAUCUAAGCAGAUGUGGACUGUAAAGAAGCACUCAGGUUGUCAAAAGCAUACAGAGAUAUGACAGGUCUUUUAUAAGGAUAAAGUUUUGAACUUUCCUCUGUAAUAAUCUUGUAUAACUUUGGAUACUGUGUAUUCAUCAUUGUUUUGGCCUUAAUUCUUCAAUCUACCUUGUAUUCAUGAUAUUUAUGUAAUAACAGAAAUGAAAGGAGAGAAAGCAGAGACUUUAGUUAUUGAAACUAUGCCGUUAUUACUAUGAUUGGUAUAGUGACCAUAAAAUAUAUUUUAUACAGCACAAGAAGACAAAAAAAUUAGAGGAUUAGAAGAGAAGUUUUAAUAUAGUUGGUUUUUUUACGUGAGAGGAGCUCAAAUAAAAGAGAAAAUACAAUUUUUAGGUAGCUUAGCAGUUGGGUUACAGAUGCAUUUUACAAAGCCAAAAGCCAGCUUCAUUUGUAGGACAACAUUAGUUAGAAAUAAUUGUAUAAUAUUAUAUGCUAUAUGUAAUAGGAAUAUAAGUAUAAUUCUAUCAGUUAUUUACUACAGAGAUGAUUUGCAUAAAAGCACAAAUAAAAUUCAAAAAUAUAAAACAGUUAUACAGCAUAGUAAAGUGGAACUUAUUCAAAAUAUGCAAGGCUGAUUUAGUUUCAAAAAAUCAAUUAAGCGACCAUAUC